GUCCACCGAACGGCCGGCAGGCGAUCCGCGUCGGUCGCGCGAGGUGGUGUUAUGUAUGGUUACCCAGAGGCCGGUUCUUGUGCUGCCUACCCCUUCAGGGGAAGCACGGGCCACUUGAUGUAAGCCUCCAUCCGGCGCCCUCCAACGGGCGCCGGAGGACAGCGGAGCACCCCCCGCGUUCCACCGAGCCCUCGUCGGUCGCGUGGCCCGCGGGGACGUGCGAUGCUCUCGGACCCAGCGCACGCCGCGGGGCGAGGACUCACGUCCCGGCCCCAAGAGAAGCUUCGACCCAACGAAUGACGGCCCGUUCCGGCCCCCGUCCGCCCCGGCGGCGCGGGGGCGCGGCGCGGCGU
rnacentral:misc_RNA from 1 species